rnacentral:rRNA from 1 species
AACUAAAGAGUUAAGUCAUACUUAUCGGUGAAAAGACAGUUAGACAUAUAUUUAGUCAUUAGAUUUUCUAUAAAAAGGUAAAAUUUAAAUAUAGUUAUAGUAUAUUAAUAUUUAUUAGGCUUUAAAGUUGAAUCUGUGAAAACUAAGAGGGAAACUGGGAUUAGAUACCCCAUUAUUCUUGGAUGUAAAAGAAGUAAAAUUUACCAGAGUACUAUGAAUAUAAGGAUUUAAAACUCAAAGAGCUUGGCGGUGCUUUAGACUACUCAGGGGAAUCUGUUUUAUAAUCGAUAACCCGCGAUAGACCCUACCUUCUUUUGCAAAUCAGCUUGUAUACCGUCGUUGCCAGUUAACUUUUAAAAAAUAAGUAGUUAGCUAAAAAAUUUAAAAUAAAUUUGAACAUCAGAUCAGGGUGCAGCCAAUAGGAAGGAAAAGAUGGAUUACAAUUAUGAAUUUAUAAGUACGAAUGAAAAUAAUAAUAAAUUAUCUGAAGGAGGACUUGAAAGUAAUAUUUAAGUUUAUAAAGUAGAUAUGAAUUAUGCUCUGAAGCGUGC